rnacentral:lncRNA from 1 species
CUUGUAUGCAGAUUUCGGCAAAAUAUUAAAUAUGAAUCAUAUCUCCUGAUCAUGCUUAUCAUCUGUAUUUAUUUCAUUUUUGUUUUAAAUAUGAUAAAAGCGUAGCAUACCCUUGUCUGUAUGUACGUACCUCCCAAAGUUGGUUUCCGUUCUCCAACUUUAGUUUGCCUCAACGAAAUGUUAUGAAACUUGUACACAAUUCCAAUUACCACAAAACACAGAUCAAGUUUGAAUUUUAGUUGCUUCACACAUACAGUUCUAGAGUUGAGCCCCUUUACAAAUGGAAAAAAACAAACUUUUCUCUAAUUCUUUGACAAUUUAUACCUUUCUGCACUCAUUGAAAAAAAAAUUAAGUAUGGUUGCCUUCAAUCUCAGAAGAUGAUUGGAUGAGAUCAAGGGUCAUAACCUUAAUCCGCUU